GUGGGGUAACGGCCUACCAAGGCGACGACGGGUAGCCGGCCUGAGAGGGCGACCGGCCACACUGGGACUGAGACACGGCCCAGACUCCUACGGGAGGCAGCAGUGGGGAAUAUUGCGCAAUGGGCGAGAGCCUGACGCAGCGACGCCGCGUGGGGGAUGAAGGCCUUCGGGUUGUAAACCCCUUUCAGCAGGGACGAAGCGAGAGUGACGGUACCUGCAGAAGAAGCGCCGGCUAACUACGUGCCAGCAGCCGCGAUAACACGUAGGGCGCAAGCGUUGUCCGGAAUUAUUGGGCGUAAAGAGCUCGUAGGUGGUUUGCUACGUCCGCUGUGAAAACCCAAGGCUUAACCUUGGGCUUGCAGUGGAUACGGGCAGACUAGAGGUAGGUAGGGGAGAAUGGAAUUCCCGGUGUAGCGGUGAAAUGCGCAGAUAUCGGGAGGAACACCGGUGGCGAAGGCGG
rnacentral:rRNA from 1 species